AUGAGGCUGAAUCUGAAAAUGUUAAUGUGGAAGUUGAGUCAGGGAUAUAUCAAUUCUAAAAGUGGAAUGGACUGAAUCAAAUCAAGAAAGCAGUGAUAGCUCUCAAGAGGAUGUUAUUCCUGAUGUGGAUGACUCUGAGGUUGAUAAAGAAUUGAGAUCUCUUAGAAAUGAAAGGAGAAACAAAGUGAAAAAAAAAUCUAAUCAAACUGAGAAAAUAAAGCUUGGAACAACUGGUAUUGAUAGAGGCUUUGAAGAUAUAGGAAGGAAUAAGGCUGCUAGAUAUACUGGAAGAUUAGGGGGUGAUGAGCAAUAUAUAGAUAGCUCAGAAUUGGAAAGUGAAGACAACAGGGAUGAAUUGGAUCCAGAAUUUGUGGAGGGUGUUGAUUUACCAAGAAGAAGAAAAAAUAAAAAAGUAAGAUUUGAUCCUGAUUGUGUUCUAGGAAUUUUUGAGCUUGAUAUGAUAUUUGAAGGUGUUGAACAAUUUAAAAAAAUUGUUGCAGACUAUUCUUAUGAAUAUAAAACUAGGUUAAAGUUGAAGCCUAAUGACAAAAAAAGAGUUAGAGCUAGAUGUUGUUUGCUAGUAUAGAUAAGGAUUCUGGUGAUUUUAUUGUCAAAAAUUAUUAUCCUAUGUAUGUAUGUCAUCAAUCAACCAAGAACAAGUUGUGUACAUCUAAAUUUAUUGCAGAAAAGUUCAAGGAUGAAAUUAUAUGUCAACCAUAUAUAAGAUUUUGAAAAAUUCAGGAAUUGGUGAGAAAAAAAUUUAGGUUGUAUGCUGGAAGAACUAUUUGUCAUAGGGCAAAAAAGAGGAUUAUCAAAAAGUUCAUAGGUGAUUAGAAGAUGAAAUUUUCAAGAUUGGGUGAUUAUGCAGACAUGAUUAAACAUACUAAUUCUUGUACUUCCUGUUGGGUAAGGACAGAUAGAGAGUCUCAGCCAGGAAAAACUUUGUUUGUUUACUUCUGUGUUUGCUUUGAUGCAUUGAAGAGGGGUUGGUUGGAAGGAUGAAGAAAAGUUAUUGGUUAUGAUGGAUGCUUUAUAAAGGGUUCUUUCAAGGGAGAAUUGUUGAUUGUUGUUGGUAAAAAUAAAAAUCAACAGAUGUUUCCAAUCGCAUGGGAUGUUGUUGACACAGAGACAAAACACAGUUGGAGUUUUUUCUCAAGUACUUGAUAGAAGAUUUGAACUUAGGCACAGGACAUGGACUGAUUGUUAUGUCAGAUAUGCAGAAGGUUAGAUAAUUUUUCUAUUGUAGCUUGAUCUUUUAUUUUUUUAUUUUCUUGUGUUGCUAAUACGUUUUAAUGUUUGUGCUACAACUGUUUACAUAGGGCCUUGUACCAGCUUUAUGUGAGUUGCUACCAGAUAGUGAGUAGAGAAGGUGUGCUAGACAUAUCUGGUUCAACUGAAAUAAAUUAUGGAGUGGUGAAGAAAGAAGAAAACAAAUCUGGAGAUGUGCUAAGUCAAGUUUUGAAGUGCAAUUUGAAGAUGAGAUGGAUAAACUCAACAAAUUAGGUAAUAAAAUUUGUGAGGACUUGUUGCAUUAUGAAAAAAACUACUUCGUGCAAAGCAUAUUAUAAAGAGCAUUCUAAGUGUGACAUUGUUAAAAACAAUAUGUGUGAAACUUUUAAUUCUUUGAUACUAGCUGCUAGACAUAAGGCUAUCAUAAUUAUGUUAGAGGAGAUUAGGCACAAAAUAAUGGAUAGAAAUAUUGCAAUGAGACAAUUUGCUAAAACUUGGAUCGCAGAUUUCUCUCCUAUGGCUAGAUUAGUACUUGAAGAGAACAAAGAUCUUGCUAGAUUUUUUGAAGUUAGACUCAAUGGUGAUAUUGGGUAUGAAACCUUAGAUGGUCAGUACAGGCAUAUUGUUGAUAUAAGAAAGAAGACAUGUACAAGUAGAACAUGGCAAUUGAGGGGCAUACCAUGUCAACAUGUUGUGCUUGUAUAUCAGCACAUAGGCAUAAAACCUGAACAUGAAGUGGUACAUUGAUAGGAAAGAGACUUUUUUGAAGGCUUAUAACCAUUUUCUACAGCCAAUACCAAACAUGAAAAUGUGGCCUCACACUAGUGGUGUAGUGAUAGAACCUCCUGAACCAAAAGUCAUGUCUGAUAGGCCACAAAAGUGCAGAAGAAAGGCAAAGAAUGAGCCUAGGAAAAAGUAUGAAAAGUUGUCCAAAAGAGGAGUAAAAAUGACCUGCUCCCUGUGUCAUCAAGUAGGCCACAACAAAAAAGCUUGUCCAAUAUCGGUAAGUUAUUAUUCUCUUCUAAUACAUCUAUAAUAAGCUUCAAUUAUUUACAAUAAUCAAUUAUUAUUACUGUAUUAAUAGGCUGGGAUGGACAACCUGGAGGCUACCCAAACAGGCAACCAAGCUCAAGCCAGCACCAAUGUUUAGCCAACCAUCAAGCUCAAGCCAGCCACCAUUGUUUAGCCAACCAUCAAGCUCAAGCCAGCCACUACUUUUUAGUAGACCAUCAAGCUCAAGUCAUCCACCAGUGUUUAUCCAACCAUCAAGCUCAAGCAAGCCACCACUUUUUAGUAGACCAUCAAGCUCAAGUCAGCCACCAGUAUUCAAUCAUCAAGGCAGUUUUAUAUGUGUUUGAUUCUUCAGUUGUUAGAAGAAAGCAACAACCUGCUAAAAGCAGAGGCACAUGAAGAGGCACUGGGAGAAGCAUUGGCAGAGGAACUGAAAGAGGCACUGAUAGAGGCACUGGGAGAGGUACUGGCAGAGGAACUGGAAGAGGCACUGGUAGAGGGAAUGGAGGUGUAUCAAGUUAGCAACCUGAUCAACCAAGGGUUGUAGAAGCUUCAAUAUCAACAGGAAGAUAAAAGAGGACCAAGACUAUAGGAUUUGGCAUCUAUACAAAUGCAAGUGGUAGUCAAACCUUUAAUCCUGGUACUUCAGGAGAAAGAGCUAUCAAUCUGAGAGGUUAUAAGGAUACAUCUCCAAUAAAUAUUGAUAUUGAUUAUAAGCCUCGAGAACUCAAGUGGAAUGUUAAAGAUGUUGUCACAGGUUCACAGUUGCAACGAAUCACUCAGUCAAGAAAAAACAAACGUGGAACAUCUAGUGCACCAAAGAAUGCCUAAUUUUUGUAGAAAAGUCAUUUUUUGGUUGUGUAAUCAGCAGCAGAAGCUUGUAUUGACUGCUUUGAAAUGUCACUUCCUGGUUGUGUAAUAAGCACCAAAACUUGUAUUGA